CUCAGCUAGUCAGUCAGCCAGUCAGCCAGUCAGUCAGCCAGUCAGCCACCAUUUAAGAAUGGUAUAACCAAGAUCUAGCUUCGUGAUAACUGUACUGUAUACAUUACAGUACAAUUCUGAUAACAGCACCACCAAGGAGGCUGAUUGGCUGAUUACAGUACCACCAAGGAGUCUGAUUGGCUGAUUAAAGUAACACCAAGGAGGCUGAUUGGCUGAUUACAGUACCACCAAGGAGGCUGAUUGGCUAUCUGUCCUGAGCUCACACCUUGUAAAUCUGCCCACCUGACCUGACUCUACAUAAUGGGA
ensembl:lncRNA